AUAAAGUCCAGCUACUAAGAGAAAAAAAAAUAAAAAGUCAGCAUUCUCAUCCGCCACCCCGGAGAAGGUAUGGAACAUAGCCAUCCCUGGCUCCUCACAGACCAUUUCGUUGUGAACCAUAAACCCCACCCAGGUAACAAAUGUACCAUUUCAUGGUCAGCAAGAGCGGUAACUGUCACUGGAGAAAUAAAACUGAGUUAUUGUUUCCAGUUUCCAAAGAACAGCAACAAGUAUAAAAAAAAAAACCUGUAUGUGAUCCCUGUCCUCUUCCCCUCAAGACACCUGCAGCCGUCUAAUGUUUCACUGAAUCCUGCCACAUAAAUGCAUAGCUUCACUCACUAAUCCAUAUGGCUCCAGAGACCACUGUUACAUGAGAACUUAAACUGAUGGGGCCAGGCAGCCCAGGGCAGCUUAAUCUUUUUUAAUUCAAAUCGACUGAGUCCCAUGUGGCCCGGAGAUGAUACCCUAUAUGCUGCAAUCAGACUGACCUAGACUUCUUGUGCUCUAAAUGAUUAAUGAAACUGCCUCGAGUUUGUUUCUAUGGUGACUGGAAACCCGACCCGGACAGAGGAAUCUGCCAUUCACGGUGAAUGGAACGGAAAGAGGGGAACAGGGGGACCCUGGCUGCUGGUGCUGGUCUUGAAGAGAAGAUGCCCAAAUGCCUCAACUCCUCCCCCAGGCCGCUGCUGUGGGUUCAGAAAUUGCAGUGAGGGGAGAGGAAGAAAAUGGCCCUCCUAGGGAAGUUUUAACUCAACAAAACUGCAGAAUUAUUUUAUUCUCCCAAAGUAUUCCUAAAGCAAAUGACCAAAGAAGAAUUGAGGGAAGUUAGUAUUUAAUUCACAUUUGGUUUCCUAAAAUAAAUACAUGAGUAACUUAAAGAAAACAAAACCAUAAAAUCUUUGAUUCCUUCUUUAGAAUGAAUGGUUUUUGUCUACUAUGAACAUGACAAGAGCUGCUGAGUAUUUCGCAUGACCUGUGCACUCUCUGGUUCUAUGUAGUUUUAUUUGUUUCCCCUCCUUAUUUAACAUAGGCUGAAUUUGGGCUUCAUGCAGCAAAACUUUGCUGUCAGAACUGUCAGAGGCCAGCUGAGCAGAACUUGGGGGGAAUUACAUGCAGCUGGUGGAGAAGCAAUGGAUGUGAAGAGUUUGUGCCAAGGGUUACCUGCUGCCAUCCACCUGGCACGACAGUUGGGUCCUGCUUCAGGAUGGAGUUGAUCCUAGCUUUCUCAGCAGAGCCUCCAAACCCUGCCAGGUGCCCAAGUGCCACAAAAUACGGAACCUUUAGAGAGGUCUCAUACAGGGACCACCAAAGGACAAAUGUGAACAUCUGAAAUCUGAUGCCUCGUCCAAUUGCUAUUGACCGAGGGAUGCUACUUCCUUCAACACUCAGUCCCCCUGCACAUCAGCCUGUGAUGCCUUGUAUUUCCCAUAGAAGAAAUUCCAGACUUUUGUAAGACACAUGCAGAUUGCAUUUUAUUCUGAAGGGCUCCAAAAAGCCCCUAUCCUCCAUCCAGAAGGCUCUUUCAGGGACCCGAAGAGUGCUCUGCCCAGGCCUGGCGUGGCGAGUGGACUGGUGGGUGACCUCAGACAACGUGGGGACUGAGUCAGCCGCUGCAGGGAGGAAAGUGAGACUUGCAGGAGACACUGAGAGGGAAGUGAAGCCAUGAAUAUUUAGACAGAGGGAGAGUGGAAUUCAACCUGACACUGAUACACAGGAGGAUUGGAUUGAUAGCAAUAGCCUAAAAUUAGAAGCGGUCUACGGGGGAGUUCGGAGUUCAGGCUCUGGAGACAGACUGGGUGAAAAACUCUGAAUUGGCCACUUACUAGCCCAGUAACCUUGGGCAAACUGAUCAACCUGUCUGUGCCUCAGCUCCCUCAUAUGUAAAGUAAUCUCUACUUUACCUUAAUAGACUUCCUCUACGGGAUCGUUGUGAGGAUUAAGUGACUUCUUGCAACAGUGCUUGGCACAUGGUAAGCACAUACUUGUUGCAUUAUAACAGAAUAAAGAUCCUGUCUUAGGUCUGUUGGGAUCUUUCUUUCAUCUAGAGUGCCUUUUGCUGCUUUCCAAAUCCCCCUUCCACCCUUUUAUUUGUUUUGGAGGAAAGAAGUGUGCCAUGGGCUGUGGACUGAAAGUUCGUGUCCCCCACAAAAUUCAUACAUUGAAAUCCUAACCCCCAAAGUGACAGUAUUAGGAGGUGGAGCAUUUGGGAGGUGAUUUGGUCAUGAGGGUGGAGCCUUCAUGCACGGGAUUAGUGCCCUUAUCAAAGGGACCCCAGAGAGCUCUCUAGUUCUCCCUCUGCCAUGUGAGGACACAGAGAAGUUAGCAGUCUGCAACCUGGAAGAAGGCCCUCGCCAAAACCCGGCCAUGCUGGCGUCCUGAUCUUGAAAGUCCAGUCUCCAGAACUGUGAGAAAUAAGUAUUUGUCUUUUAAGCCACCCAGCCCAUGGUAAUUUGUUACAGCAGCCCAAGAGGACUGAGAUAGAUGGUCUAGAUCAGCACUGUCCAAUAGAAAUACGCAAAACACAUAUGAAAUUAAAAAUUCCUAGAAGCCACAUUAAAAAAUAAAGAGAAACAGGUAACAUUAAUUUCAAUUACAUAUUCCACUUAAUUCAAUAUUUCUAAAACAUUAUCCUUUCAAUAUGUAAUCAAUACAAAGAUUUGUCAAAGAGCUACUUUGCUUUUUUUUGUUUACUAAUCUUUGAAAUCCUGUCUAUAUUUUACUUAUAGCACAUUUCAAUUCAGGCACUAGAUCAUCAUCUGAAAUACUUGAUUAUAUUUAGAUUUCAUCAAAUUGACAAUUGAACAAGUAGAUCCACAUACCCAAGUUGUUCCAUACAACUUCCCAGUAACUGAAACCAGUAUCAGUUUUUAAAGUAAAAUUAGUUAAAAUGAAAUGAAAUUCUAGUUCUUCAGGUGCACCAGCCACAUUUCAAGUGCUCAGGGGCUACAUGUGGCUACUGUAUUGAACAGUGCAGGUCUAGAGGUUGCUAUGGGGAGGACUUAGCAUGGAGAAUGGUGUCUGGCUGUAGGAAUCUCAGGCACAAGGAACUUACAAGAACAGAGACUCUGGCAACAUCCUCAGCUUGUUUCUAUUAUGGUGGGAGGCAGGUAGGGUGGUGUGGGGACAGGGGUGUAAAGAGAAUUGCUUGUUCCUUCAAGAACAAAUGCAUACCACUACUCACUGUCUACCAGCUGCUGCCCUGGGUGCCAGGGAUGCGGUGUGAGUUAGCAGGGAGAGAAGGGACCAGACAAAUCCAAGUAUUUACUGGAGAUAUUGAUGGAAAGACAAUAAUACCAGCCGUUGGCAUUUGUCUGUUAUGAGAAGCCUUCCUGGCCACCAUCUCUUUUGGAUCUUCACAGCAGCUGAGACUCAGGGAGGGCUCAGGACGUUAAGUGACUUGCCCAUAGCAUGUGUGGGGAGGAACAAAGGGCAAAGUGCAGGGCUUCUGAACCCAGGUGCAGGCUCUGUGACUUGCUGUCUUCACUCUGGACAAAGGGCUGAAAGGCCGUCAUGUGUGGGGCCUCCUGUUGCAUGAUUUGUAACCAUGGUGGUGGGAGGGGUCUCUGGGGAGGCAAACAACUUCAGCUGGGCAGUGGAGGCCUCCCAUCCAUGAUGUCCCCUUCAUCUAGGGCCUUUUGCGGUACACAAGGUCUGGUUCCUGCCUCAAUUUGUUCCUAUGGUGAAAGAGUUAUAACUGGAGACACAGAGAAUAAAAACUGAAGGAAAAAUGAACAAGUAGGGCUCCUCCAGGUGCCCCUGCAGAAGUGCUUCUGGUCUCCCUUCCCCAUCUCCCUUGCCCUCCCUGCUGCCUCCAGGUGCAUUCUGGAGAGCUGUACCUUUUGGGCAUGGCUGUUUAGGGGGCAGCCUUUGCUUACUCAGUGUUGUGCUGGGGCAGGGAUGAGAGGGAUUUGGCACAAGGUGGUAAUCAUAUCUCCACCACAGGACCUCAUCAGCACAGCACAGGGUGUUUGCAGAAUAAGUGGGUGAAGGAAACAGAGGAUCACCCCAAGCUCUUCAUCUAACGAACCUAAGCAGAUCACUGAAGUUCUCUAAUUGGUGACCCUCCACACAUCCCACUGGCUGGGCAGUGAUCUGCAAGCCAGGCAAGACCACUGUCCCUCUGCUUUCAAGAUGUCUGGCUCUGAUUUCCCUACUUAUAUUAGGCCUGUCCUUUCCUCCUAACAGAGUCUAGACAACAAAGGUUUCUCUUGUUCCCUCUUUGACCUGGGACUUAAUUCGACAAGAGGCCACAGAGCCCAUGUGCUGACUUGGUGAACACAGCAUCCCAAAGAGACUGUGUGGGGGGAGGAGCCAAGAUGGCUGAAUAGGAACAGCUCAGGUCUACAGCUCCCAGUGUGAGCGACGCAGAAG
rnacentral:lncRNA from 1 species